UACGUAGGGUGCAAGCGUUAAUCGGAAUUACUGGGCGUAAAGCGUGCGCAGGCGGCUAUGCAAGACAGAUGUGAAAUCCCCGGGCUCAACCUGGGAACUGCAUUUGUGACUGCAUGGCUAGAGUACGGUAGAGGGGGAUGGAAUUCCGCGUGUAGCAGUGAAAUGCGUAGAUAUCUGGAGGAACACCGGUGGCGAAGGCGGCAUCCUGGACCGGUAUUGACGCUGAGGCGCGAAAGCCAGGGGAGCAAACGGG
rnacentral:rRNA from 1 species